rnacentral:rRNA from 1 species
AUUGAACGCUGGCGGCAGGCCUAACACAUGCAAGUCGAGCGGAAACGAGUUAUCUGAACCUUCGGGGAACGAUAACGGCGUCGAGCGGCGGACGGGUGAGUAAUGCCUAGGAAAUUGCCCUGAUGUGGGGGAUAACCAUUGGAAACGAUGGCUAAUACCGCAUGAUGCCUACGGGCCAAAGAGGGGGACCUUCGGGCCUCUCGCGUCAGGAUAUGCCUAGGUGGGAUUAGCUAGUUGGUGAGGUAAGGGCUCACCAAGGCGACGAUCCCUAGCUGGUCUGAGAGGAUGAUCAGCCACACUGGAACUGAGACACGGUCCAGACUCCUACGGGAGGCAGCAGUGGGGAAUAUUGCACAAUGGGCGCAAGCCUGAUGCAGCCAUGCCGCGUGUGUGAAGAAGGCCUUCGGGUUGUAAAGCACUUUCAGUCGUGAGGAAGGUAGUGUAGUUAAUAGCUGCAUUAUUUGACGUUAGCGACAGAAGAAGCACCGGCUAACUCCGUGCCAGCAGCCGCGGUAAUACGGAGGGUGCGAGCGUUAAUCGGAAUUACUGGGCGUAAAGCGCAUGCAGGUGGUUUGUUAAGUCAGAUGUGAAAGCCCGGGGCUCAACCUCGGAAUAGCAUUUGAAACUGGCAGACUAGAGUACUGUAGAGGGGGGUAGAAUUUCAGGUGUAGCGGUGAAAUGCGUAGAGAUCUGAAGGAAUACCGGUGGCGAAGGCGGCCCCCUGGACAGAUACUGACACUCAGAUGCGAAAGCGUGGGGAGCAAACAGGAUUAGAUACCCUGGUAGUCCACGCCGUAAACGAUGUCUACUUGGAGGUUGUGGCCUUGAGCCGUGGCUUUCGGAGCUAACGCGUUAAGUAGACCGCCUGGGGAGUACGGUCGCAAGAUUAAAACUCAAAUGAAUUGACGGGGGCCCGCACAAGCGGUGGAGCAUGUGGUUUAAUUCGAUGCAACGCGAAGAACCUUACCUACUCUUGACAUCCAGAGAACUUUCCAGAGAUGGAUUGGUGCCUUCGGGAACUCUGAGGCAGGUGCUGCAUGGCUGUCGUCAGCUCGUGUUGUGAAAUGUUGGGUUAAGUCCCGCAACGAGCGCAACCCUUAUCCUUGUUUGCCAGCGAGUAAUGUCGGGAACUCCAGGGAGACUGCCGGUGAUAAACCGGAGGAAGGUGGGGACGACGUCAAGUCAUCAUGGCCCUUACGAGUAGGGCUACACACGUGCUACAAUGGCGCAUACAGAGGGCGGCCAACUUGCGAAAGUGAGCGAAUCCCAAAAAGUGCGUCGUAGUCCGGAUUGGAGUCUGCAACUCGACUCCAUGAAGUCGGAAUCGCUAGUAAUCGUGGAUCAGAAUGCCACGGUGAAUACGUUCCCGGGCCU